GACGAACGCUGGCGGCGUGCUUAACACAUGCAAGUCGAACGGAAAGGCCCCUUUGGGGGUACUCGAGUGGCGACCGGGUGGGUAACACGUGAGUAACCUGCCCUUGACUUCGGGAUAACUUCAGGAAACUGGGGCUAAUACCGGAUAGGAAUCCUUGCUGCAUGGUGGGGGUUGGAAAGCUUCGGCGGUUUUGGAUGGACUGGCGGCUUAUCAGCUUGCUGGUGGGGGAGUGGCUUACCAAGGCUUUGACGGGUAGCCGGCCUGGGAGGGCGACCGGCCACAUUGGGACUGAGAGACGGCCCAGACUCCUACGGGAGGCAGCAGGGGGGAAUAUUGCACAAUGGGCGGAAGCCUGAUGCAGCAACGCCGCGGGCGGGAUGACGGCCUUCGGGUUGUAAACCGCUUUCAGCAGGGGCGAAGCUUGUGGUGACGGUACCUGCAGAAGAAGCACCGGCUAACUACGUG
rnacentral:rRNA from 1 species